GUGCACGUGCAAGGGCUGGGCAAGGUGAUCAGGGUCCCUGCAGGGUGAGGAAAGGCCAAGUGCUACGCAGUGAUGCUCAGCUCUCUGGAUCUUCACGGACAGAGGAAAACGUGCCCUGAGCAGUGUCUGAGCAAAGCUUUGUUGGCAUGACUCAUCCACCCUUGGGGUUUCUCCAGAUCUGACAGAGAAGUUUUCCCUGCACCUCCCGAGCAAUUGCCCUAAAGACCCCGAGGAUGAAGCACAGAAGAGCCCUGAUAUUCUCCCACGGACUGACUCUACCAGGGACUCUCUGGAUCUCUCGAUGGAUGAUAUUUCUGGCAAAGAGCAAACAUCUCAUCAAGCAACUAUUUCCAGAUUCACUGUGCGCAGAUGCAGAUUU